rnacentral:rRNA from 1 species
AGCUUAGAGAGCUUGCUUUUUAAGCUUAGUGGCGAACGGGUGAGUAACGCGUGGGUAACCUGCCUCACACAGGGGGAUAACAGUUGGAAACGGCUGCUAAUACCGCAUAAGCGCACAGUACCACAUGGUACAGUGUGAAAAACUCCGGUGGUAUGAGAUGGACCCGCGUCUGAUUAGCUUGUUGGCGGGGUAACGGCCCACCAAGGCGACGAUCAGUAGCCGGUCUGAGAGGAUGAACGGCCACACUGGAACUGAGACACGGUCCAGACUCC